rnacentral:rRNA from 1 species
AUGAACGCUGACAGAAUGCUUGACACAUGCAAGUCAACUUGAACUUCGGUUUGGGUGGCGGACGGGUGAGUAACGCGUAAAGAACUUGCCUCACAGCUAGGGACAACAUUUGGAAACGAAUGCUAAUACCUGAUAUUAUGAUUAUAUGGCAUCGUAUAAUUAUGAAAGCUAUAUGCGCUGUGAGAGAGCUUUGCGUCCCAUUAGCUAGUUGGAGAGGUAACAGCUCACCAAGGCGAUGAUGGGUAGCCGGCCUGAGAGGGUGAUCGGCCACAAGGGGACUGAGACACGGCCCUUACUCCUACGGGAGGCAGCAGUGGGGAAUAUUGGACAAUGGACCGAGAGUCUGAUCCAGCAAUUCUGUGUGCACGAUGAAGUUUUUCGGAAUGUAAAGUGCUUUCAGUUGGGAAGAAAAAAAUGACGGUACCAACAGAAGAAGUGACGGCUAAAUACGUG